GGACGCGUAGCUCAGGGAAGAGCGCGCUGGGAUUUCUAAGGUAUGGUCGUGGGUGCAACCCGGUCAUACGCCUGGCGAGGUGCUGGUUCAACUCCAGCCGCGUACCG
rnacentral:tRNA from 1 species